GAUCAUGGCUCAGAGUGAACGACUGGCGGCGUGCGUUAACACAUGCAAGUCGAACGAGAACGGGCUAUAGCUUGCUAUAGUUGUCAGCUAAGUGGCGCACGGGUGAGUAAUGUAUAGGUAAUAUGCCUCUUACUAAGGGAUAACAAAUGGAAACGUUUGCUAAUACCUUAUACUCCUUAUUAACAGAAGUUAAUAAGGGAAAGAUUUAUUGGUAAGAGAUUAGCCUGUAUUGUAUCAGUUAGUUGGUGGGGUAAUGGCUUACCAAGACUAUGACACAUAACUGGUUUGAGAGGAUGAUCAGUCACACUGGAACUGAGACACGGUCCAGACUCCUACGGGAGGCAGCAGUGGGGAAUAUUGCACAAUGGACGAAAGUCUGAUGCAGCAACGCCGCGUGGAGGAUGACACAUUUCGGUGCGUAAACUCCUUUUAUAUGAGAAGAUAAUGACGGUAUUAUAUGAAUAAGCACCGGCUAACUCCGUG
rnacentral:rRNA from 1 species